rnacentral:rRNA from 1 species
UACGUAGGGGGGCAAGCGUUGUCCGGAUUUAUUGGGCGUAAAGAGCGUGUAGGCGGCCAAGCAGGUCCGCUGUGAAAACUCGAGGCUCAACCUCGAAGAGGUCGGUGGAAACCGUUUGGCUAGAGUCCGGAAGAGGAGAGUGGAAUUCCCGGUGUAGCGGUGAAAUGCGCAGAUAUCAGGAGGAACACCGGUGGCGAAGGCGGUUCUCUGGGCAUUACCUGACGCUGAGGAGCGAAAAGUGUGGGGAGCGAACAGG